rnacentral:rRNA from 3 species
GGUUAAGCGACUAAGCGUACACGGUGGAUGCCCUGGCAGUCAGAGGCGAUGAAGGGCGUGCUAAUCUGCGAUAAGCGCCGGUAAGGUGAUAUGAACCGUUAUAACCGGCGAUACCCGAAUGGGGAAACCCAGUGUGACUCGUCACACUAUCAUUAACUGAAUCCAUAGGUUAAUGAGGCGAACCGGGGGAACUGAAACAUCUAAGUACCCCGAGGAAAAGAAAUCAACCGAGAUUCCCCCAGUAGCGGCGAGCGAACGGGGAGGAGCCCAGAGCCUGAAUCAGCAUGUGUGUUAGUGGAAGCGUCUGGAAAGGCGCGCGAUACAGGGUGACAGCCCCGUACACAAAAGCGCAUGUGCUGUGAGCUCGAUGAGUAGGGCGGGACACGUGGUAUCCUGUCUGAAUAUGGGGGGACCAUCCUCCAAGGCUAAAUACUCCUGACUGACCGAUAGUGAACCAGUACCGUGAGGGAAAGGCGAAAAGAACCCCGGCGAGGGGAGUGAAAAAGAACCUGAAACCGUGUACGUACAAGCAGUGGGAGCACAGGUUUACCUGUGUGACUGCGUACCUUUUGUAUAAUGGGUCAGCGACUUAUAUUCUGUAGCAAGGUUAACCGUAUAGGGGAGCCGGAGGGAAACCGAGUCUUAACCGGGCGUUAAGUUGCAGGGUAUAGACCCGAAACCCGGUGAUCUAGCCAUGGGCAGGUUGAAGGUUGGGUAACACUAACUGGAGGACCGAACCGACUAAUGUUGAAAAAUUAGCGGAUGACCUGUGGCUGGGGGUGAAAGGCCAAUCAAACCGGGAGAUAGCUGGUUCUCCCCGAAAGCUAUUUAGGUAGCGCCUCGUGAAUUCAUCUCCGGGGGUAGAGCACUGUUUCGGCUAGGGGGCCAUCCCGGCUUACCAACCCGAUGCAAACUGCGAAUACCGGAGAAUGUUAUCACGGGAGACACACGGCGGGUGCUAACGUCCGUCGUGAAGAGGGAAACAACCCAGACCGCCAGCUAAGGUCCCAAAGUCAUGGUUAAGUGGGAAACGAUGUGGGAAGGCCCAGACAGCCAGGAUGUUGGCUUAGAAGCAGCCAUCAUUUAAAGAAAGCGUAAUAGCUCACUGGUCGAGUCGGCCUGCGCGGAAGAUGUAACGGGGCUAAACCAUGCACCGAAGCUGCGGCAGCGACGCUGAUGCGUUGUUGGGUAGGGGAGCGUUCUGUAAGCCUGUGAAGGUGUGUCGUGAGGCAUGCUGGAGGUAUCAGAAGUGCGAAUGCUGACAUAAGUAACGAUAAAGCGGGUGAAAAGCCCGCUCGCCGGAAGACCAAGGGUUCCUGUCCAACGUUAAUCGGGGCAGGGUGAGUCGACCCCUAAGGCGAGGCCGAAAGGCGUAGUCGAUGGGAAACGGGUUAAUAUUCCCGUACUUGGUGUUACUGCGAAGGGGGGACGGAGAAGGCUAUGUUGGCCGGGCGACGGUUGUCCCGGUUUAAGCGUGUAGGUGUGUGUUCCAGGUAAAUCCGGUUCACUUUAACACUGAGGCGUGACGACGAGGCACUACGGUGCUGAAGCAACAAAUGCCCUGCUUCCAGGAAAAGCCUCUAAGCAUCAGGUAACAUCAAAUCGUACCCCAAACCGACACAGGUGGUCAGGUAGAGAAUACCAAGGCGCUUGAGAGAACUCGGGUGAAGGAACUAGGCAAAAUGGUGCCGUAACUUCGGGAGAAGGCACGCUGACAUGUAGGUGAAGUGAUUUACUCACGGAGCUGAAGUCAGUCGAAGAUACCAGCUGGCUGCAACUGUUUAUUAAAAACACAGCACUGUGCAAACACGAAAGUGGACGUAUACGGUGUGACGCCUGCCCGGUGCCGGAAGGUUAAUUGAUGGGGUCAGCGCAAGCGAAGCUCCUGAUCGAAGCCCCGGUAAACGGCGGCCGUAACUAUAACGGUCCUAAGGUAGCGAAAUUCCUUGUCGGGUAAGUUCCGACCUGCACGAAUGGCGUAAUGAUGGCCAGGCUGUCUCCACCCGAGACUCAGUGAAAUUGAACUCGCUGUGAAGAUGCAGUGUACCCGCGGCAAGACGGAAAGACCCCGUGAACCUUUACUAUAGCUUGACACUGAACAUUGAGCCUUGAUGUGUAGGAUAGGUGGGAGGCUUUGAAGUGUGGACGCCAGUCUGCAUGGAGCCGACCUUGAAAUACCACCCUUUAAUGUUUGAUGUUCUAACGUGGACCCGUAAUCCGGGUUGCGGACAGUGUCUGGUGGGUAGUUUGACUGGGGCGGUCUCCUCCUAAAGAGUAACGGAGGAGCACGAAGGUUGGCUAAUCCUGGUCGGACAUCAGGAGGUUAGUGCAAUGGCAUAAGCCAGCUUGACUGCGAGCGUGACGGCGCGAGCAGGUGCGAAAGCAGGUCAUAGUGAUCCGGUGGUUCUGAAUGGAAGGGCCAUCGCUCAACGGAUAAAAGGUACUCCGGGGAUAACAGGCUGAUACCGCCCAAGAGUUCAUAUCGACGGCGGUGUUUGGCACCUCGAUGUCGGCUCAUCACAUCCUGGGGCUGAAGUAGGUCCCAAGGGUAUGGCUGUUCGCCAUUUAAAGUGGUACGCGAGCUGGGUUUAGAACGUCGUGAGACAGUUCGGUCCCUAUCUGCCGUGGGCGCUGGAGAACUGAGGGGGGCUGCUCCUAGUACGAGAGGACCGGAGUGGACGCAUCACUGGUGUUCGGGUUGUCAUGCCAAUGGCACUGCCCGGUAGCUAAAUGCGGAAGAGAUAAGUGCUGAAAGCAUCUAAGCACGAAACUUGCCCCGAGAUGAGUUCUCCCUGAGACUUAGAGUCUCCUGAAGGAACGUUGAAGACGACGACGUUGAUAGGCCGGGUGUGUAAGCGCAGCGAUGCGUUGAGCUAACCGGUACUAAUGAACCGUGAGGCUUAACCUU